CUUAUCUGAAAUAAGGAUGUGACAGCUGGCACUUUUACAGUCAUUUUAUGGCCUCGAAGAUAUGACAGUGUGAACGAUUGCAGGACAGACAGUUUGAAUGAACCUGGCUCUCGGAUCACUUUAUGGAGUCCCGGACUUUGUACAUAUGAAAAUAAAACCUCAGGUGAUUAAACUUCUGUAGUUUAGUCACUGUAAUGAGGAGCCAAACACAAUAUGUGAUUAUAUGAACAUGAAGCAAAGGUAUGAACGUAUACCUUAGCAUCGAUGACCUGGGGUAGGGGUGGGGGUGCAGAGAAAAGAGAAAGAGAGGAGAUAGAAGGUACAAAAAAUUAUUUAAAUAUAAGGUGCCCUUUAUUUAAAAAAAAAAACCCAGCAUUAUGAUAUAAUUCUAUUUGUUUACAAUUAUAUGUUCACUCUUUCAAGACACUCUUUUCCUACUUAAAAGCAUUCCUCCCUCAGGGCCAUCCUGUGACAUCUGAAUCCCAGUGAGAGACCCUUUUCUCCUAUGACUGGUCGACAUAAAAAGGUGCCCAAAAGGGUGGUUAUCAAAAAAUUAACAGAAAAAUGGUGAUACCUCGGGGUAGUGUGAUUGCAGGUGAUUGCUUCUUUCUUCCUUAUAUUUGUAUGAUUGUUUUAAGUUUUAAAUCGAUCUUGUAUUAUUACAUAAUCUGAAAAGAAAACUACAAUGCUAUUUUCAUUGUCGAAAAACAAAAACAAUAAAAAGAGUGGCGUGAGGCAAGACUGGAGGCUAGAUCAAGUCAGAGGGCAUUCUCAUAAUGCAGGUAAGGAAUGACGUAUUGAAGGCAGAUAGGGACAAUCGAAGAUGGAGAGAGGUAGAAAGAUUUUUAAAAUCAUAAGGAGGUAGUGAUUGGAAAAAGAGGAGAAGGCGAGAUUUCUAGGUGAAAUGAGCGGGUGGAGAUGUGCGCCAUUCCCUGAAAUAAGGAGCACAGGGGGAGGAGUAGCAGCUGUCGAGUGGAGGACAUGCAGCAUCUUCAAGGUAUUGAUGCCUGGGUUCGCCCGGAAUCACAAUCUCUAGAUAUCUAUUGUAGGUAAUUCUAAGGCACAGCCAGGGCUGAGAAAUAGUGGGAAAGACCCCUGGGCUGAGGACCAGAGGACCAGGACAUCUGAGACUAAGAAAACAUGGUCAGAGAAGGAGGAGGAAUGCAAAGGAGACAACAUCCUGGAAUUCAACAGAGAAGGAUGUUUCUGAUGUUGGUACUGUGCUCGGUGUAUCACCGGUGCUCAAUAAAUACUUCUUGGCUAAAUGACAGAAGGAAAGGGACAGAUGGUGUCAAAUACUGCUGAGGACUCAAGAAAGAGGAGAGUUGUACAGUGUCCAUGGGAUUUGGCACCAAAGAGGUUCAUCACGUGGGCUGUGAGGUGGUUUGUGUUGUCUGGCAGCGAGGAGUGAGAGCAAAAAGCAAUGAAAUGUGUUGACAAACUAUUAUAUCAAAAAUCUUGUUCCCAGCCAUAAACAAGAAAGAAAUAAUGCCAUUUGCAGCAACAUGGGUGGACCUAGAGAUUAUCCUCCUAAGUGAAGUAAGUCAAAUACCAUAUGACAUCAUUUAUAUGUGGCAUCUAAAAAAAAGAUACACAUGACUUUUUUUACAAGGCAGAAACUAACACAACAUUGUAAGUAAACUACACUCCAAUAUAAAAUAAAAAUUAAACUAAACAACACCCCAGAAAUAGACUCACAGACAUAGAAAACAAAUUUAUGGUCACCAAAGGGGAAAGGGAGGAGGGAUAAAUGAUGGGUUUGGGAUUAACAGAUACCCCGUCCUAUAUAUAAAAUAGAUAACCAACAAGGAUCUACUACUGUGGGGUACAGGGAAUUCUACUCAAUAUUUUGUAGUGAUCUAUGAUGGAAAAGAAGAAAAGAAUCUGAAAAAAAGAAUAUAUAUAUAUGUGUGUGUGUGUGUGUGUGUGUGUACAUAUAACUGAAACCCUUUGCUGUACACUGUAAACAUUGUAAAUCAACUAUACUUCAAUAAAAAGAAAAAAAUCUUGGUUAUGCUUCAGAAAUCACAUUUCUUUCUUUUGUGUGUGUGUGUGUGUGUGUCUUUUCGCCUUUUCUAUGGCCGCACCUGCAACAGAUGGAGGUUC
ensembl:lncRNA